rnacentral:rRNA from 1 species
UGGGGAAUUUUGGACAAUGGGCGAAAGCCUGAUCCAGCAAUGCCGCGUGUGUGAAGAAGGCCUUCGGGUUGUAAAGCACUUUUGUCCGGAAAGAAAUCCUUGGCUCUAAUACAGUCGGGGGAUGACGGUACCGGAAGAAUAAGCACCGGCUAGCUACGUGCCAGCAGCCGCGGUAAUACGUAGGGUGCAAGCGUUAAUCGGAAUUACUGGGCGUAAAGCGUGCGCAGGCGGUUUGCUAAGACCGAUGUGAAAUCCCCGGGCUCAACCUGGGAACUGCAUUGGUGACUGGCAGGCUAGAGUAUGGCAGAGGGGGGUAGAAUUCCACGUGUAGCAGUGAAAUGCGUAGAGAUGUGGAGGAAUACCGAUGGCGAAGGCAGCCCCCUGGGCCAAUACUGACGCUCAUGCACGAAAAGCGUGGGGAGCAAAACAGGAUUAGAUACCCUGGUAGUCCACGCCCUAAAACGAUGUCAACUAGUUGUUGGGGAUUCAUUUCCUUAGUAACGUAGCUAACGCGUGAAGUUGACCGCCUGGGGAGUACGGUCGCAAGAUUAAAACUCAAAUGAAUUGACGGGGUCAUAGCUGUUUCCU